rnacentral:tRNA from 1 species
AAUUCCUGUGGCUCUUCUUUGAUCUUGAAAAUCAAUAAUAAACGUUAAACUCGUUUAGGAAUUA